rnacentral:hammerhead_ribozyme from 1 species
AUCCAGCUGACGAGUCCCAUAUGAGACGAAACGCGUGUUCUGGAU